UUUCAUCGGAGAGUUUGAUCCUGGCUCAGGACGAACGCUGGCGGCGUGCUUAACACAUGCAAGUCGAACGAUAACGUACCUUCGGGUGCUAUUACAGUGGCGAACGGGUGAGUAACACGUGGGUAACCUGCCCUUGACUGGGGGAUAACCCGGGGAAACUCGGAUUAAUACCGCAUAAUGCACUUCCUCAUAUGAGGAAAUGUGAAAGUUGCCUUGUGCUUCGGUCAUGGAUGGGCCCGCGUCGGAUUAGUUAGUUGGUGGGGUAAUGGCCUACCAAGACCACGAUCCGUAGCUGGUCUGAGAGGACGAUCAGCCACACUGGGACUGAGACACGGCCCAGACUCCUACGGGAGGCAGCAGUGGGGAAUCUUGCGCAAUGGGCGAAAGCCUGACGCAGCAACGCCGCGUGAGGGAAGACGGCCUUAGGGUUGUAAACCUCUUUCAGAUGGGACGAAGCCGGGCUGGUGAUGAGCCAGACCGAUGACGGUACCUUCAGAAGAAGCUCCGGCUAACUACGUGCCAGCAGCCGCGGUAAUACGUAGGGAGCAAGCGUUGUCCGGAAUCAUUGGGCGUAAAGAGCGUGUAGGCGGCCAGGUCAGUCUGGUGUGAAAGCCCGAGGCUCAACCUCGGAAGGUCACUGGAUACUGCCUGGCUAGAGUCCGGAAGAGGAGAUCGGAAUUCCUGGUGUAGCGGUGAAAUGCGCAGAUAUCAGGAGGAACACCUAUUGCGAAGGCAGGUCUCUGGUACGUGACUGACGCUAAGACGCGAAAGCGUGGGGAGCGAACAGGAUUAGAUACCCUGGUAGUCCACGCCGUAAACGAUGGAUGUUAGGUGUGGGUGAUUUUCGAUAUCGCCCGUGCCGAAGCUAACGCGUUAAACAUCCCGCCUGGGGAGUACGGCCGCAAGGCUAAAACUCAAAGGAAUUGACGGGGACCCGCACAAGCAGCGGAGCAUGUGGUUUAAUUCGACGCAACGCGAAGAACCUUACCUGGGCUUGACAUGUCUCGGACAAACGUGGAAACACGCUUCCCUUACGGGCCGAGUCACAGGUGGUGCAUGGCUGUCGUCAGCUCGUGUCGUGAGAUGUUGGGUUAAGUCCCGCAACGAGCGCAACCCCUGUCCUAUGUUGCCAGCAUUAAGUUGGGGACUCAUAGGAGACUGCCGGUGAUAAACCGGAGGAAGGUAGGGAUGACGUCAAGUCAGCAUGCCCCUUACGUCCAGGGCUACACACGUGCUACAUUGGCCGGUACAAAGGGCUGCGAAACAGUAAUGUUGAGCGAAUCCCAAAAAGCCGGUCUCGGUUCGGAUUGAGGGCUGAAACUCGCCCUCAUGAAGGUGGAGUUGCUAGUAAUCGCGGAUCAGCAACGCCGCGGUGAAUACGUUCCCGGGUCUUGUACACACCGCCCGUCACACCACGAAAGCCAGUAAUACCCGAAGCCUGUGGCCCAACCUUUGGGAGGGAGCAGUCGAAGGUAGGACUGGUGAUUGGGGUGAAGUCGUAACAAGGUAGCCGUAGCGGAAGCUGCGGCUGGAUCACCUCCUUUCU
rnacentral:rRNA from 1 species